GCCCGGGGCGCGCCCCGGGCGGGGCGGGGGCACGGGGGGAACGCGAAGAACCUUACCAGGUCUUGACAUCCCGAUGCUAUUUCUAGAGAUAGAAAGUUACUUCGGUACAUCGGUGACAGGUGGUGCAUGGUUGUCGUCAGCUCGUGUCGUGAGAUGUUGGGUUAAGUCCCGCAACGAGCGCAACCCCUAUUGUUAGUUGCCAUCAUUCAGUUGGGCACUCUAGCGAGACUGCCGGUAAUAAACCGGAGGAAGGUGGGGAUGACGUCAAAUCAUCAUGCCCCUUAUGACCUGGGCUACACACGUGCUACAAUGGUUGGUACAACGAGUUGCGAGUCGGUGACGGCAAGCUAAUCUCUUAAAGCCAAUCUCAGUUCGGAUUGUAGGCUGCAACUCGCCUACAUGAAGUCGGAAUCGCUAGUAAUCGCGGAUCAGCACGCCGCGGUGAAUACGUUCCCGGGCCUUGUAC
rnacentral:rRNA from 1 species